rnacentral:rRNA from 1 species
UACGUAGGGUGCAAGCGUUAUCCGGAAUUAUUGGGCGUAAAGAGCUCGUAGGCGGUUUGUCGCGUCUGCCGUGAAAGUCCGGGGCUCAACUCCGGAUCUGCGGUGGGUACGGGCAGACUAGAGUGCAGUAGGGGAGACUGGAAUUCCUGGUGUAGCGGUGAAAUGCGCAGAUAUCAGGAAGAACACCCGUGGCUAAGGCGGCUCUCUAGUACGGUACUGACGCUGAGACGCGAAAGCGUGGGGAGCGAACAGG